UCGGGGGAAAGAUUUAUCGCCGAAAGAUCGGCCCCGCGUCUGAUUAGCUAGUUGGUGAGGUAAAGGCUCACCAAGGCGACGAUCAGUAGCUGGUCUGAGAGGAUGAUCAGCCACAUUGGGACUGAGACACGGCCCAAACUCCUACGGGAGGCAGCAGUGGGGAAUAUUGGACGAAUGGGCGCAAAGCCUGAUCCAGCCAUGCCGCGUGAGUGAUGAAGGCCUUAGGGUUGUAAAAGCUCUUUUGUCCGGGAAAGAUAAAUGACUGUACCGGAAAGAAAUAAAGCCCCGGCUAACUUCGUGCCAGCAGCCGCGGUAAUACGAAGGGGGCUAGCGUUGCUCGGAAUCACUGGGCGUAAAGGGCGCGUAGGCGGACUUUUAAGUCGGAGGUGAAAGCCCAGGGCUCAACCCUGGAAUUGCCUUCGAUACUGGGAGUCUUGAGCUCGGAAGAGGUUGGUGGAACUGCGAGUGUAGAGGUGAAAUUCGUAGAUAUUCGCAAGAACACCGGUGGCGAAGGCGGCCAACUGGUCCGAAACUGACGCUGAGGCGCGAAAGCGUGGGGAGCAAACUAGGAUUAGAUACCCUGGUAGUCCACGCCGUAAACGAU
rnacentral:rRNA from 1 species